rnacentral:ncRNA from 1 species
UCUUAAGGGAUGGGCGAUGGCCUCCAUUGCCCACAGCCAAUCAAAGGGGUGUUGAGUUCAGAUCCCCAGAUCCGGAGUGGCAGAGAUGGGUGCUGCAAGGUAUCCAGUGCAGUAAUGCAACCGAUCCUAGAGAAGCCAGCAGGAACCCCAGGGAGAGUUUUCUUUUCUUUGUGAAGGGCAGGGCACCCUGGAAUGGGUUCGCUCUGAGAGCGGGCCCGAGCCUUGGAAAGUGUCACAGUUCCAGCGGUGUCCGAUGAGCUCUGACUGGUCCUUGAAAAUCUGGGGGAGAUGGUGUAAAUCUCAUGCUGGG